AUGAGGUUAAUGUGCUCACCGAUAAGGUUCGCGCAAAUGAUUGAUGGAUUAGAUGACGAGCACCUAAAGGCCAUCUGCACUCAAACCGGUCUUGGAGGGCUAACAAAGAUGAAGUCAGUGUCUCUCCGACGUAUUAUGUUGGUGCUGCUAGCGAAGAGCUACAUCCACGACAUGCAGAGUAUUCACAUUGCUGGUAAGGACAUUUCUAUAACUCCAACGGAUGUCUAUCAAUUAAUGGACCUUCCAAUAGAGGGAAAAAAUAUAUAUAUGGAAAUGGGAAAACCAAAAGACGCAAACCUGUUAAGGGCUUAUCAAACAGAUGGAAGACUUAAGCUGAGUGACCUCGAGGACAAAAUUAAAGCCUCCAAAACUCCAGAUGAUCAUUUCAUCAGGCGGUUUGUUUUGUAUGCUAUUGGCAUUUUUUAG
rnacentral:rRNA from 1 species